rnacentral:rRNA from 1 species
UACGAAGGGGGCUAGCGUUGUUCGGAAUUACUGGGCGUAAAGCGCACGUAGGCGGAUUGUUAAGUUAGGGGUGAAAUCCCAGGGCUCAACCCUGGAACUGCCUUUAAUACUGGCAAUCUCGAGUCCGAGAGAGGUGAGUGGAAUUCCGAGUGUAGAGGUGAAAUUCGUAGAUAUUCGGAGGAACACCAGUGGCGAAGGCGGCUCACUGGCUCGGUACUGACUCUGAGGUGCGAAAGCGUGGGGAGCAAACAGG